AUACGGAGGAUGCAAGCGUUAUCCGGAUUUAUUGGGUUUAAAGGGUGCGUAGGCGGUUUGCUAAGCGGGCGGUGAAAUGCCGGCGCUCAACGUCGGAAGUGCCUCCCGAACUGGUGGACUGGAAUGACUCUGCCGUGGGAGGAAUGUGUAGUGUAGCGGUGAAAUGCUUAGAGAUUACACAGAACACCGAUUGCGAAGGCAUCUCACGAAGGGUUGAUUGACGCUGAGGCACGAAAGCGUGGGGAUCAAACAGGAUUAGAUACCCUGGUAGUCCACGCAGUAAACGAUGAUGGCUAACCGCUGGUUUUUUCGGAUCAGUGGCCAAGCGAAAGCGAUAAGCCAUCCACCUGGGGAGUACGACCGCAAGGUUGAAACUCAAAUGAAUUGACGGGG
rnacentral:rRNA from 1 species